rnacentral:misc_RNA from 1 species
GAUGAAUCAAACACGUAUACGUAUAUAUGAGAUGUUAGAUAAAAGUUUAAAGCAACUAUACGAUCGCGCUCGUACGGAUUGCAAUUUUAGUCUGUGUGUUACACGUAUUCAUGAACAAGUUGCAUCAGCCUAAGAGACGAGUUACAGUAACUUACGUGCUGUAUUUAGUCUGUGCCAAGAUGUUUAAUUUGCUAUUGCCUCCCAUCAACACAGCAGCGUUAGGUGCUACCUAAUGAAAGCUCUUACAACUUAUUGUAAUUAAGAAUUUCAUCCGGCAAUUAUGAAUUCGCAGUGCUCCAAGUUCCUUUUACUUCUUUUCUCUGCUGUGCUCAUGACAGAAUCCAAAUCCAGAGAAAUUUAUAUUUCCUGCGCUGAAAAUAGGCCUUGCAAAGCCGGCGAGUAUUGCAUGGAAUCGUACUGUGAACGAUGCAUCCCUUGCGAGUCCCUUUAUCAUCGUCAAUCAUCGUCGACGAAUGGCGAAGCAUCUUGCGCAAGAAACUCGACCGAAUGCGGACCGUGUCUACCAGGAUACCAGAAUCACAGUACAACCGACGGAAGCCCUUCCAGGGAUUGUUUCCCUUUGAUUCAAAUAGCUGUUUCGACUAGUUCUAUCGACUGGAAGUGGAUUGUCGUAUUUCUGUGGCUAUCAAUUAUUUCCAUUGGCCUCGUCGCAAGGAAAUUCGAUUUACGGAAAUGUUGCACUCGUGUUGGCUCUGUCCUGGUGGUGAAUAAGGAAUCGGAGUCAUUCACAAACAGAGCAGUAGUCCAGUCAGACGACACAGAUUUUCAGGAUUGAGCUGGGACUGACGACGAGGGAAAAAACCCUAUUAACUAUUAUUGUGCACAAACAAUCUGAUUUCUUCUAUAGUUGCAUGCAGUCGCAACUCAACAACGACAGCAGUCGGUGAUGCUGUGCUGCCUUAUUCUUCGUAACUCUUACAACUUAUUGAAGUCAUUAAAUUUCAGGAUUUGAGUUCGUUAAAUAAAACUGUUCAGUUCUUCACGUUCACGAAAUUUCAGUAAAAAAUCAUGCAUUUGGGGUUCCCAGUUUUUCUCGUCCUCGUGCUCAUGUCAGAAUCCAGGUGGAUUCCAGACGAUCCGGUCCCCUGUACUAAUUAUGAAGAUUGUCAAGAUGGAGAGUUUUGCUCCCAUUCUUACUGUGAACGAUGCAUACCUUGUGAGACCUUUAAUCGUCAACCAGCCAGUAAUAAAGCAUCUUGCGCAGAAAACUGGACAGAAUGUGGACCUUGUCUAACAGGAUACAACUAUCGUAAUACAACUGUGGGUCACAGUUAUCAAUGUUACCCGUCGACGGACGAGCGCCCGCCGAAUACAACUCCCGGCGAAUGGCGAUGGAUAGUCGUAUGGAUAUGGCUAUCAACUAUUUCCCUUAUUCUCAUCUUCAUGAAAUUCAAUGUUUUCUAUUUUAUUCGUACCGGUAGUUGUACUCGUACGAGUACUCGUAGUAGUACACGCACCAGCAUCAAGCUUUAAACGAUCAAGCAAACGACAUGGAUGAUACGGUUCGGAAUUUUAAUUCGACAACACGGCCUUUGUAAGUAUUCAGCUUUUAAAACAUCGCAGUCUGAAGCCUAUCAAAGAUUCAAAGGCAUAAAUCGCUGAUCAAAUGUAUCAUUACGAUUGUUUUUUCUUGUGUGCCAAAAUAUGUAAAGCCAAUGUAAGAAUUGCAAGCGACAACCUCAUCGCAAACUGUGUAGUAAAAAUGCGUGUUUCAUGUUAUUUGAUUCGUUUCUUUUUUAAUUUUGUAUUUGUACUGUAUUUCAUUUGUCAUUCAUUACAAACUUAACACCA